rnacentral:rRNA from 1 species
UACGAAGGGGGCUAGCGUUGCUCGGAAUCACUGGGCGUAAAGCGCACGUAGGCGGCUUGUUAAGUCAGGGGUGAAAUCCCGGAGCUCAACUUCGGAACUGCCUUUGAUACAGCACGUCUUGAGUCCGAUAGAGGUGAGUGGAACUGCGAGUGUAGAGGUGAAAUUCGUAGAUAUUCGCAAGAACACCAGUGGCGAAGGCGGCUCACUGGCCCGGUACUGACGCUGAGGCACGAAAGCGUGGGGAGCAAACAGG